CCUAAAUAAAGGUUUGAGAAAAGCCCUUACUGGGGCUUAAAUGAUAUCUAUUGUGGGAUUGGCAGCCUGGAUCUUUAUAAAAUGCAUUGCGAGUGAAAAGGUUCCCUACCCUUCUGUGGAUGUGGAGUGCCAUCUCUAUUCUCGAUCUAUCUUCUUUGUACUUAUUCUAUAGAUUAUUUUGGGGGCUCAGAGACUGUAAAACGUACAGGUAGCGAAUAUAUAAAACCUAUGUUAUGAAUAGUUAAUAGAAUAUUGUGUUUUCAAUGGGGAAUUUACAGCCAGCCAUUUUGGUACAGUAAAUCUCUACCUUUACGAGAUCAGUAAAGCCUUCCUUUAUAUGGAUCAGCAGCGUGGGACUUAGAGUGUUUUGUAUUGUGUUUGUCCUCAAUGCAACCCUUCUAUGAGAUCUGUGGUUAAAGUAUUUACAUCUCAGCUUCAGCAUAUGAACUGGCUCCAUCAGGAAAUCUAAGAUAUCAGAGAGAGCUAUUCACUAAUGAGUUGCAACCAAC